ensembl:lncRNA
UGUAUGUAUGUAUGUAUGUGUGUGUGUGUGUGUGUGUGUGUGUGUGUGUGUGUGUGUGUGUGUGUGUGUGUGUGUGUGUGUGUGUAUGUAUGUAUGUAUGUAUGUAUGUAUGUAUGUAGGUAGGUAGGUAGGUAGGUAGGUAGGUAGGUAGGUAUGUAUGUAUAUGUAUGUAUGUACAGUAUGUAUGUAUGUAUGUAUGUAUGUAUGUAUGUAUGUAUGUAUGUAUGUAUGUAUGUAUGUAUGUAUGUAGGUAUGUAUGUAUGUAUGUAUGUAUGUAUGUAUGUAUGUAUGUAUGUAUGUAUGUAUGUAUGUAUGUAUGUAUGUAUGUAUGUAUGUAUGUAUG